CCUCACCUUAUCCAAGCCAAGCACUGGAUCCUUCACGAAAAAGAAAGAAAACACUGGAACCGAAGAGGGCAGCGGCCACUGCCGCACACCGCCGGCGCCGCCGGCGCCGUCCGCCCCCGAUUCCGCGAUGCCCCUCUUACCUUCUCCUCUGACGCAGUUGCGCCGCCGCCCACCAUCUGCCCCUCGUUCCCCGCGUCUCCUCCUCCCCCCGCCCCAUCUCCUCCCGUCCCCCGACGCCUACGUUGGCGAGUACACCGCCGGCACAUUCCGUCCCCCGAUCGAGUCCGCGACGCCACUCCCGCCUCCUCCUCUGAUGCAGAAACCCGGCUGCCCACCACCUCCCCCCUCCUACUGGCCGGCUCCUCGGGUCCUCCUCCACGCUCUACUCAUCCUCAGCGGCGCCGGCGCCAGCUUCCCUGCCGACGCGCUCCACGGCCGUCCUCUUUGCGCACGCGCUGGUCCACACCCACGUCCUCCUUCAGUCGACCCCGUCUCAGAUACAACUGGUCUGGUGUGAUGGUUGACAUGGGGUACUAUGCCUCUGCUUCCCAACCCGUCCCGCCUCCCAAGUUCAAUUUUUGUGUCCUUACAGUUCAAAUCCGCGCGCCCAGUUCGAACUGUCCAGAAACCAGUCCUGCAGCCCAGUAUAAAUAAGUGGGCAGGCUUAUGGGACUCACGCUGCUCAAACUACACCUCCAAGAAGGCACACAACCUUCAGAUCGAACAGAUUGUGGGGAAGUGUGAUUCACUCCUCUUCGCCAUCUAAUCUUCAUCAAGGGCAAGCCAAGUUUAACUGAACUUGCUCCAGUGGCAUGCCAAGUGCUCAUACAAGUCUAUUUAUAUAUAUGUGAGCCAACAGAUAUGACAAGCUCAAGUCACUCGUCUUUGGAUGAUGAAGUGACAAAAAAAUCAUCUAUGAUUUUUCGUACUAAUGGCAUGCUCAUAUCAACGGAUGACUUGGUGCGAGGUGAAAGUUCAGAAGGGCGAAAGCGUGCACGUGAAGCCAUAAGAUAUGCUAGCCGUACACCAGAACAAAUCCAAGCAAGGCGAGAACGUGUUAGAGCACGUCGGCAAAAUUUAACACCUGUUGAGAAGGAAAAGAUUAAUGCACACAGAAGAGAGAAAAGACAAUGAAUGACACUUGAUGAGAGGAAUGCAAGCCAACGAGCGCGUAGGCAAAGUUUGACAUUAGAUGAGAGGCAAGAAAGAAAUCCACGCCGGCGAGCACGUAGGCAAAGCCUACCACCUGAAGAGCGGCAAGCACUCCUAGCUCAACGUAAUGCAAGCUACGCAUCUAAACGAGAUGCCCUCUGCAGGGAUUCUGUUGCACUAUGUUGCUCUUUCUAGAGCUACAUCUAGAAGUAAUAUGAAGAUUCUUACCAUCCCAGAUAAGCAAAAGGAAGGCCAGUCCUACUCCGUUGCAAAUUUUACAAAGAACAUAGUCUACAAAGAAGUUCUCAGCAUGUAGUACAAGGUAUGAAUCACACAAGUACAAUUUGGUGGCCGUAAAAAUUCAAUCUAUCUAGAUUACUAGGGUCAGCCAUGUAAAAUUGCUUCCCAUCUAUGGUUCUGAAGUUUGUGUGGAGGACUUUCAGAAAAACAACUAAGAUGCUUGCUUUAGCGUUCAUGAUAUUUUUGCAGAAAAUAUUGUACAUGUAUUCGAAUUGUUUUUUUGUAGUUUUCUUUAUUA